GUUAACUCCGUGGAAGGAGUGUGGGAAAUAGGAUGGAUCCAAGCGUUAGCCGGAAUGAGUGGGGUGAAAGGGUCCGGAGGCGGCUUUAUAAGUCAGUGGUGAAAGCCCAUCGCUUAACGAUGGAACGGCCAUUGAUACUGUAGAGCUUGAAUUACUUGGAAGUAAGUAGAAUAUGUAGUGUAGCGGUGAAAUGCUUAGAUAUUACAUGGAAUACCAAUUGCGAAGGCAGGUUACUACAAGUGGAUUGACGCUGAUGGACGAAAGCGUGGGGAGCGAACAGGAUUAGAUACCCUUGUAGUC
rnacentral:rRNA from 1 species